rnacentral:tRNA from 1 species
GCUCCCAUGGCGUAGUGGUCACUGUUCUCGCCUAGCACGCGGGAGACCCGGGUUCGAUUCCCGGCGGAGUCA